AGGGGGCGCUUUCCCAACCCCCUGCUGACUCUCCCACAAAUAAAUAAGCAUUUACAAGACCAAAAAGAACAUCUAGGAACAGUCUGAAGUCUGGGACACAUCGACAUCAGCAGACGCUGGGCUUCAUCCCCUGGUGAUGCUCUGCCAGGCCUCUACUGCAACUGUCUCCAGUUCCUGCUUGUUCUUGGGGCAUUUUCCCUUCAGAUUCAGGUAUUAUUGUGGAAGUGUGUAAUUACCCAGUCUUGGCAAAGUUGGUCCAAUACGUCAUGACGACUGCACUCAGCAUGAUGUCAUUGCGUGAAAAAUUGCAAGGGAAAAGCUCGGUGGGUCCGACGAGCGGAAU